rnacentral:rRNA from 1 species
CUUAGUGGCGAACGGGUGAGUAACGCGUGAGUAACCUGCCCUGGAGUGGGGGACAACAGUUGGAAACGACUGCUAAUACCGCAUAAGCCCACGGCCCGGCAUCGGGCUGAGGGAAAGGAUUUAUUCGCUUCAGGAUGGACUCGCGUCCAAUUAGCUAGUUGGUGAGGUAACGGCCCACCAAGGCGACGAUUGGUAGCCGGACUGAGAGGUUGAACGGCCACAUUGGGACUGAGACACGGCCCAG